UCUGGGAUAAAAGUAUCCUAAGAUUGGUUCAGCUGUUUAUCCGUAAAAUGAUAACAGACAGAUAGACAGACAUUAAAGUGCAUCGAUUUGUAAUAUUAGUAUGGAUUGCAAUUCAUGUAGUCGAUGUUGUUUAUUUGAUUUUUUAUAAGAUUUUUAGUUUUCCUCGAGAUCCUAUGCGUUGUGGCGAUUAGAUAUCCGUAAUAGCACUUCAGAGAUGUGAAGAAUUCUAUAAGCUAACAAAGGGAAGCGUUGUAUGCUCGAAUCAUUUCUUAGAAAGUGAUGAUUAUGUCACUACAAAAGGCAUCAGAAGGCUGCACAAAACAGCUGUAACUAGAAUAAAAACGAAUGAUGAUGAUGAUUGCUCUUUGAAAAAUAAGUCUAGUGAUCAAAGUUUCUCUGAGUCGCAAAUAAAUAUUGAAUCAAGAAUUAGCCCCACUUCAUUAUUAAGCAUCGUCUCAAUUCGGGACACUCUUAAGGAAAAACACUAGAAAAAAAAACUUGAUGAUUGCAAAAGGCUUCCAUAAAUGAAAAACAAAAAAAUAUGUAAUUUACGAAAGCAGAACAGACUAAAGAAAAAAAUUAGCAAAUUAAAGAUGCUCUGUCAAAAGUAAACGCCAAACAGUUUACCAAUCUUUACUCCAACAUUUAUCAAAGCACGCGGAAGUAACGACUUCAUUUAAUGCAAUGUUUAUGAAAAAUAUUAAAGGAAAAAGCGACAGUUUGCUAAGCAUCCAGCAGGUGCUAGAAAAAUCGCUUUUACGUUACAUUUUUAUUCUCCAGCUGCAUAUAAAUACAUAAGAAAAGUGUGUGACUCUUGUCUACCACAUCAAAAUACAAUAGCAACAGGUUAAUUGGUACAGAAGUAUAGAUGCCUAGCCUGGUUUUACAGGAGAAUCAUUUUACAGACUAAGAGAAAAAUCAGAAAAUGGAAAGAAAAGAGAUAAUAGGUGCUCUUAUUGAAAUGUCAAUACCUGACCACAGAAAAUAUGGACUUGCAAAAGAAAGUUUAAUUGCUAUGGGUCUUGACAAUGAAGAUGACAAAAAAGGACAAUGCUAGUCAAGUGUAUGUCAUUAUGCUAGUCUGUUCUUAAGCCUCGAACAAAUUUCCUCAAAAUCGAAAUGAAAAGCGGAGUGUGUAACUCGAUCAUAAAUCCCAUUUAUCCCCUCAACUUAAAUAUGAACCAAGAAACAAUAUGGACUUGAUAAUUGAUAUAACCAUCUCAAAUAAAAUGGAUUGUUUUGUCCUUGUAGCACAAUCAACAAGGAGUUAGUGAAUAACUCCUAAAGCAAGUUAUCUUUUAAUAUAAAAAAUAUUCGGCUCCAUAAAUUCCUUGUCCUACUGGCGAGCCUCGGUCAUAAAAUUAUUUUGCUUUUUUAAAGAACUUCUAAAAGCAACCUUAAUUUAUGGGUGUAAAGGUGAAUAUUUAAUAAUUAUUGUUACUAGCUAUCUUCGGUCCUAAAAUUGUAAUGCUUUUUUUGUAAAUAUAACUCUAACUUCUAGCGCCUAAGGUUGUAUUUGCAUUCAUGUAUGUUUAUAUUAACUACGUAAACAUAAGUGAGAACAGUUCUCAAGUUGACUUUUGUAUGGGACUGUGUUUCUACUUUUUAUUAGUUAUAGAUGACUAUAUAUCCAAAAAAAUAUCUCAUUUUGUUGAUAUAAAUUCCAAAUUAUAUUUUUAAAAUAAUUUUAACCGCGAAAACGCUCGCCGUGUCAUACAUAGAUUGUAAUCACGAAAUUUUGUGAUUGAAACCAUUGAAGAAGUACCAAAUUAUGUUUAAGUCGACGAGACGUCAUAAUUUUGAAU